GAGAAGCUCAAAAGUUCCUCCAAAGACUGGAACGAAUACAAUCAAAAGCCAACGUGUGGAGGAAGAGAUUAAAACUAAAAGGAAUUCUGUAGCCUGCAGGCAAAGCGCAACAAAAGCAAAGCCACAGCGGAAAAGAAGUGGCACACGAGGAGGCCGUUCCAAAUGAUGUCACUCAGACUAAAUCAUCAGAAAGCUUUUGAGCAAGAGGUGAAGUCAGCAAGCUACUGUAAUGGACCACCCAGACUUUUUAUAUUAAGUAAUGAUUUCAUAAUACAUAAGAAAUAUA